AAUUUUGGAAAAUGGGGGAAACCCUGACCCAGCCAUCCCGCGUGAAUGAGGAAGGCCUUCGGGUUGUAAAGUACUUUUGGCAGAGAAGAAAAGGUAUCUCCUAAUACGAGAUACUGUUGCCGGUAACUGAAGAAUAAGCACCGGCUAACUACGUGCCAGCAGCCGCGGUAAUACGUAGGGUGCAAGCGUUAAUCGGACUUAUUGGGUGUAAAGCGUGUGUAGGCGGUUCGUAAAGAAAGAUGUGAAAUCUCCGGGCUUAACCUUGGAACUGGAAUUUUAACUGCUGAGCUAGAGUAUGUUAGAGGGGGGUAGAAUUCCACGUGUAGCAGUGAAAUGCGUAGAUAUGUGGAGGAAUACCGAUGGUGAAGGCAGCCCCCUGGGAUAAUACUGACGCUCAGACACGAAAGCGUGGGGAGCAAACAG
rnacentral:rRNA from 1 species